rnacentral:rRNA from 1 species
UACAGAGGUCCCAAGCGUUGUUCGGAUUCACUGGGCGUAAAGGGUGCGUAGGUGGUGAGGUAAGUCGGAUGUGAAAUCUCCGGGCUCAACCCGGAAAUGGCAUUGGAAACUACCUUGCUGGAGGAUUUGAGGGGGGAUUGGAAUACUUGGUGUAGCAGUGAAAUGCGUAGAUAUCAAGUGGAACACCAGUGGCGAAGGCGAAUCCCUGGAAAAUACCUGACACUGAGACGCGAAGGCGUGGGGAGCGAACGGG